AUUGAACGCUGGCGGCAGGCUUAACACAUGCAAGUCGAGCGGAGCGAGGGUGCUUGCACCUUAGCUUAGCGGCGGACGGGUGAGUAAUGCUUAGGAAUCUGCCUAUUAGUGGGGGACAACAUUCCGAAAGGAAUGCUAAUACCGCAUACGCCCUACGGGGGAAAGCAGGGGAUCUUCGGACCUUGCGCUAAUAGAUGAGCCUAAGUCGGAUUAGCUAGUUGGUGGGGUAAAGGCCUACCAAGGCGACGAUCUGUAGCGGGUCUGAGAGGAUGAUCCGCCAAACUGGGACUGAGACCCGGCCCAGACUCCUACGGGAGGCAGCAGUGUGGAAUAUUGGACAAUGGGCGGAAGCCUGAUCCAGCCAUGCCGCGUGUGUGAAGAAGGCCUUUUGGUUGUAAAGCACUUUAAGCGAGGAGGAGGCUCUUAAGGUUAAUACCCUUGAUGAGUGGACGUUACUCGCAGAAUAAGCACCGGCUAACUCUGUGCCAGCAGCCGCGGUAACAC
rnacentral:rRNA from 1 species